rnacentral:rRNA from 1 species
CGGACCCUUCGGGGUUAGUGGCGGACGGGUGAGUAACACGUGGGAACGUGCCUUUUGGUUCGGAAUAGCUCCUGGAAACGGGUGGUAAUGCCGAAUGUGCCCUUCGGGGGAAAGAUUUAUCGCCAUUAGAGCGGCCCGCGUCUGAUUAGCUAGUUGGUGAGGUAAAGGCUCACCAAGGCUACGAUCAGUAGCUGGUCUGAGAGGAUGACCAGCCACAUUGGGACUGAGACACGGCCCAAACUCCUACGGGAGGCAGCAGUGGGGAAUCUUGCGCAAUGGGCGAAAGCCUGACGCAGCCAUGCCGCGUGUAUGAUGAAGGUCUUAGGAUUGUAAAAUACUUUCACCGGUGAAGAUAAUGACUGUAGCCGGAGAAGAAGCCCCGGCUAACUUCGUGCCAGCAGCCGCGGUAAUACGAAGGGGGCUAGCGUUGCUCGGAAUUACUGGGCGUAAAGGGAGCGUAGGCGGACAUUUAAGUCAGGGGUGAAAUCCCAGAGCUCAACUCUGGAACUGCCUUUGAUACUGGAUGUCUUGAGUGUGAGAGAGGUAUGUGGAACUCCGAGUGUAGAGGUGAAAUUCGUAGAUAUUCGGAAGAACACCAGUGGCGAAGGCGACAUACUGGCUCAUUACUGACGCUGAGGCUCGAAAGCGUGGGGAGCAAACAGGAUUAGAUACCCUGGUAGUCCACGCCG